rnacentral:rRNA from 1 species
UACGUAGGUGGCAAGCGUUGUCCGGAUUUACUGGGCGUAAAGAGCGCGCAGGCGGUCGUUCAAGUCGCGUGUGAAAGCCCCCGGCUCAACUGGGGAGGGUCACGCGAUACUGAUCGACUCGAAGGCAGGAGAGGGUAGUGGAAUUCCCGGUGUAGUGGUGAAAUGCGUAGAGAUCGGCAGGAACACCCAAGGGGAAGCCAGCCGACUGGCCCGCACCUGACACUCAGGGACGACAGCGUGGGGAGCGAACCGG